AGUUACCAUUUUUACACGGUUUCACUUUUUUUACACGGAUUUUUUAUUUUAAUUGUAUACUUUUUUGCAAUAAAAUCAAAAUUCCAUACGUCACAAAUCUAUUGCUGUUAAUAGAAUUUAAUAAAUUCUAAAUUAGGUUUAAACUAAAAAAUACAAAUCUUAGAUUCGAAAGCCAUUGAAAAGGUUGCAAAAAGUUCAAUACGUAAACAAAUAAAUGAAGCUGUAUGAAGAAGUAAGAGUAAAGAAGACACAGCGAUUAAUGACGGAACUUUGAAAUGUAUUAUUUUUUUACCAUUCCCAGAAUAGUUGUUGUUUGUUCCUUCUAACAGUAAUAUGUACAUAUAUAUAAAACCGGAAAAGCCUAUAACAACAACAACAGUGAAAAUUCUCACUGUACGAAUAGAUAGAUUUUCAUGUAAAAUUAGAUCUUUUUUACACGUUUUCUAUUUUUUGCACGAUUUUUUUCAUAAAUUGGUCCCAAUAGUGAGUUUUAUAUAAAAAUUUGAUUUUUUUUGCACGGUUUUUUUUACACGAGUAAUUUAAUGUCCCAGCUAACCGUGCAAAAAGGAGAUCAACUGUGUUGAAAUAAAUUUUUAUUUAUUUUCCUACAAAUUCUUUUAAAUAUUAUUUAUGAGCAGAAAAAAUCCUAUUAAUCCGUUAAAAUUUAUAAAAAGUCAAAAUAGUUUAUCAUAUCAAAGCAUGGGCAUAUCACAUCAAAAUGCCAAUCAUCACAAAUGUUCAUUCCCCGGCAGUCAAUUCUGUUAAAUAAUAACGAGUAACGAGCGAAUGGUGAAUUCCCUACUAGCCAAUUACAAACUCUGUAAAUGACCGUAUCGAACUUCAUACAAAAAUCAAAAUGCACCUUCUCUAUGUUGUAAGUUCUCUGGUCAUCCUGGUUUGUAGCUGUGUCUUUGGCCGAAAUUCUAAAUUGUCGCAUUAAGAUCAUUGAUAUCUUUUUUUUACCACCAAUAUAGAUCAUUCAAUCAGUCAUUUAUGGUUAUCAUAUUGCGGUUUCAUGUUGCAAAAACACUCAUAUGUUAGUUGUUAAUUGGCGAUUCUUUAUGUGUCGCCACAAAUUAAAUGAUUUUAGGCAUGCGAUUAGCCCGUCAGUAACAGUUGAUCCAGGAAUAAUUGGAAGAGUCUGGCGUAAAUCACCUGCUAACAGAAUCCUGGCUCCACCAAAAACGUUCAUCGACAAUCAAGAUCUUUUAAAGUCCUGUGCAGUACCUCCAGCGACUUCUUGAAUACAGUAUACUCUCGAAAAGUAAAUCGAUUGGUAUUUUGGGCAAUUUACUUUUUCGAAUAAUUUACUUUUCCAAAUAUAUACAUAAAUUAUCUGUUUUUAUAAUAUUAAAUGCAUUUUUAAACUUAAAAAAUUCAUUCAUUUAUUUGCUUCAAUAAAACAUAUGGAUUUACAUGAAAAACAUAUUUACAUUUACAUACAUACAUAUGUAUUUACUAUGAAGAGAAAAAAUCUUGAAUAUUCUUUUGUUUUUUUUCUUUUGCAAUAUAUUUUCUGACCAUUUUUGUACGACAAUUCUGAUUUGCAUCGUUUUCAUUUUUAAACCAGUGGAUCAAGUAGGAGAGUUUAUUUACUAAAAAGACGCGAUAAACAAGAGAGUAAGUGUUUUUGCAACAUCAUAAAAAACGCUGCUUGCUUCGUUUCAAAUUUUUUAUCACACUCUCUGAAAAGUAAAUUAAAAGUAAAUUAAAAAAUUUACUUUUUCGAGGUGCAUGUGUAAUCUUAAAGGUGAUUAACUUUUCCGCGAUUAUUUACUUUCUGAGAAUUUACUUUCCGAGAGUAUACUGUAUUUGGAAAAUCUUCAUUAUAGCGCUAUUUUUGGCGAUUUUGCCGACUGGUGUUUCGUUCAUUUGCAAUUUCAGGAGUAAUUUCAAGGCCGAAUGUGCCGUUUGUUUGCCUACUAACAGGUGCCAAGUUGCCCCUAUUCCCGUUAACCUUGGUGGUGAAAAUGAGUGAAAUUGGUUCUGGAAUUACAUCAGUCCUCAUAUACUAUAUAUUUUCUAUUGGACUUUAUGCCAAUCAAUAAAUUGCGAGAGUAUAAAAUGUUCGGUUAGACCCGAACUUAGCCUUUCCUUAUUUAUUACAAAUUGUUUUGAGCUAUCGACACAACCUUAUACAAUUGAACUAUAACAAAACUAUUUUAACAAAGCAACAAUGAUAACCUUCAAAAUAUAAUUUUUUUGUUUUCUCUUUUUAUAUUUUUCUUGUGAACUCGAAUAAAAGUCUCUUAUUAUUAUCUUCCUCGCAAUUUUUCCAUAUUUACUCACUUUCUUGUCUUUUUCUGGCCUUCCACGAAUAUUUCAAGACUAAAAUUAGCCAGAUCGGUUUGGCCGUUCUCGUUUUUUUGCGGCACAAACGAACAGCAAUUCAUUUGUAUAUUAUAUUACUAUCAAGCGACAAUUUUUUUUAAUUCCGCACACGACCAUUCAGUAGGGUCGAGUGAUCUUAACCCCCCUCCCGUACCUCCGUGCCCGAGUGACGCCUACAACUCUACAACGCAUAGUUAGCCACCGAGCGGGUUUUCAAAAUUUUUAACUCGUGAUAUCUUUUGAAUGGAAUGUCAGAAUCUAAAAAUUCAAAAAGUUAUAUGUAUAAAGGUUUUGAAGCGAUCUUAAACUAAAAAAUCAUUUAUUUCGAUAAGGAUUAAUACUAAGGUGUAAAUAAAAAGCCUUUUCAAGUAGUGGUAUUUUAAUUAAUUUUUUUAUAUAAAAUCGCUAUAAUAGUUAGAGAUAUGACGUCGAUGUUUGUUUUAGAUAAUGAUAAGUUCUACAAACUUUGUUAUAUCUUCAAUCGUUUUCGCAGCAUUCGCGAUUAAAGACAGUUUUUUGGUAUUUUUUUACGUUAUCGGAGUUUUGGUAGGGAUCCCUAUUUUUUUUUUAAACUAACUAUAGCCUAUGUCACUCAGGGAUAGUAUAGCUUUCCAAAGGUGAAAGAAUUUUUCAAAUCGGUUCAGUAGUUUCGGAGCCUAUUCGAGACAAACAAACAAAAAAACAAACUUUUCCUCUUUAUAAUAUUAGUAUAAAUAUGUACAUAUGUAUAUUUAUUUUCUUUGGUUAUUAAAAUUGAAAUUAUAAUAUACCAAAAGAAUAAAUGUUCGCGCAUAAUUUGUAAUUGUAAACAAAAUCGAAAGAACCAUACGCAUGAUGUUUGUAAAUUUGUUUACAUGUAUAUGUGCGUAAAUAUGUGCCUCAUAAUUUGCUAUAUCAAAAUUUACUAACCUUUACGAUGAAAUAUCAGAAACAGAACUACUUUUAGAAAUUGAGAAGACUUUUAAAAGCGGUUAAUAUUACUGUCUCUAAUUGGGUGACGCUGGACUAUUUGAAAUUCAUUGUGGAAUGGGAUUUUACAGCAUCUCUUCUGAAUCUAACGGUCGCACUAAAGUUAUUUAUGACAAUAUAUGCAUCAGUCGCUUCAUGUGAGAGAAGUUUCAGCAAAUUAAAAUUAAUUAAAAAUUACUUGCGGUCUACAAUGACUGAAACCGGAUUAAACAAUCUUGGUAUUUUAAUGAUAGAACAUGAAGCAACACAAAAUAUAAAUUUUGAAGACAAGAUUUCGGAGUUUGCAAGUGUCAAAGCUUGAAGGAAGAAUUUUUAAUUUUUUCACAUUAUAUACUAAUAUUUGUAAUACUCGUGUUUUAAUAAAAUGUAAAUGAUUAUUACUUUUUUAUUUUAAAAGUUUUGAUUGAGGGUGACACCUUAAAAAUCCCCCCGGGUGGUUAUAACAUUCGACCGAUGGUAAGUAAUUUUGACUUAGACCAAAUAAUUUAUUCAAAGGUUUCAACUCCCAACCGUUGGAUGGCUGAUACCUGGAAAUAAAGAAUUAUCAUAUUCCUUAAAAAUUAUUUAUUCUGUUCACCUGUGUUAAAACACAGUUCGAUUCAUAUUUCACUGAACCAUUCAUUCCUCGGCAUAAUAAUAUAAGGUCUAGUACAAAUAAAUAAUUUUUUGCGUUAACUUGAUGCAAUUUUGAAGUCAAUCUCAAUAUGUCACUCUUAUUAAACCCCACUAUGAGAAGGUUAGUAUAUGGUCAAAAUCCGUUAAGCAUUUUGAGAAAAAAAGGAAUUAAACAAAACUAAGCAAAAUUAAGUUAUAAAUUUCUUAAGGUAAAUUGGCGAGACCUUAGCCCAAAAGAAAGUUGUCCAAAGCCGACAAAGAACUUCAAAAGAAGUAAAUUUAAUAGUAAAGAUAGUUGAGAAAAACUUCACUCUGAAAAUGGGCAAUGACCGUGGCAUUGAGUAGUGACUCUUUGGCGUUCUUGAUCCAAAUUGGGUGGAAAUCUAACAUAACUUUCUGUCAUCACCAAUAAAGAUAUGGGAAUAAAGCUUUGUAAAAUUUUUGCAUGUUAAUUUAUCGGCGACGAUAAAAUUUUCAAUGGCUACUGCCUGGUGAUUAACGACAGUCUGUUUACAAAACAAUAAAUUUUAUUGCGAAUUGUUGAAACACUACAAUACCGUACAACGUCAAAUAAAUCCACCUACACAAAUAUUGUCCGAAAAAAUUGUUAGGGAACUGUAGAAUAGAGCUACAACAAAAUACGCAAUGCCUUGAACUGCCAGAAAAUUUCCAACUUAUUGUUCACUAAAAAAUUAAUGAAUUGAGGUAAUUUGGUAAUUUUCGGAGGAUACAACAUAAUUACUUGAAUCAAACUGAACUGUACUAUUCUUCUGCAAUUACCUCGCUUGGAUUAGAGAAAGAAACAACCAAGUUCUCGUGUAUUUAAACAAGUUUUGUUUUGAGCUAUAUCAUGGCUGCUUGUGAAGUAUUAUUAUAUUUUGCGUGUUUAAUUUAAAUCAGUGAUCUGCAGACUAAUUGAAGUUUAAAUUAUUGAACCACGCAAAAGAUGGAAUUGAAGAGGGUGAUACUGUAAUACGAGAGCUGCUAUAUACAUAUAUUUCUGGCCUAGGCAACACUAAGUGUUGCCAGGUGCAAUCUGACAUUUCCAUUGGAAAGUUUGACAUUUUUUAGCAUAACAUCACUCAGAACGUUUUGUCAUUUAAUCGUGAAUUGUUUUAUUUACAGGGAAUUAAAAAAUCUAUCUCGGCCAAAAAAUGGAAUUAACUCGUGAACAUUUUCGUGCGAUCAUUUUUCACAACUUUCGACGUGGAUUAUCGCGACAAGAGUGCAUCGAUGAACUAAAAUCUUCGUAUGGCUAUGAAGCACUUAGUGUUGCCAGGUGCAAUCUGACAUUUCCAUUGGAAAGUUUGACAUUUUUUAGCAUAACAUCACUCAGAACGUUUUGUCAUUUAAUCGUGAAUUGUUUUAUUUACAGGGAAUUAAAAAAUCUAUCUCGGCCAAAAAAUGGAAUUAACUCGUGAACAUUUUCGUGCGAUCAUUUUUCACAACUUUCGACGUGGAUUAUCGCGACAAGAGUGCAUCGAUGAACUAAAAUCUUCGUAUGGCUAUGAAGCACCAUCCUAUAGCACUGUGAAAAACUGGUACAACGAAUUCAAUCGUGGCUCAAAGACGAAUUCCGUGAAGGUCGUUCAAAAACAGCCGUUGUGCCAGAAAACAUCGAUGCCGUACGUGAGCUGAUAAUGCAAGACCGUCAUGUAACAUACCUUCAGAUAGAGGCAUGCCUAUGCAUUUCUCCCACCAGCAUACAUUCGAUAUUGCAUGAAUACCUGGCCGUAAAAAAGCUUUGUUCUUGUUGGAUCCCUCAUAAUUUGACAAUCGCUCAAAAAAAGUGCUUCGAAAAUUGGUUUGAGCGCAUGCAAAAGUGUAUAAAUCUUGAUGGAGAAUAUUUUGAAAAACAAUAAAACCAUUUUCGUUAAUAAAUAUUCCUAUUUUCAUUAUUAGGCCAGAAAUAUAUACAGCAGCCCUCGUACUUCACUGUCAAUUCGAAGCACGCAAUAGAAGCGACGCCAACAAUGGUCAACAUCAAGGGCGAAACUAUUGAAUACAUAUUUCAAAUCUCAUACGGCGCGUUAAAGGUACGCAAACUUAUUGGUGUCACUUAUGAUAGCAGCGUAGAACUUUCGAAGCAUUGGAAUAUGUGCUGCAAGCAAAUCCAGAAUUAUGGAUGCAAACGCUGCUACAUGGAACACAAAUCAUUUACACACCAGAUAUGUAUGUAUUAGGUUUAAUGACACUUUUUUACGUCCAAUUAAACCUUUUGGUCAACACAAGCACGAGAAUUGGAACGACAUGGUUUAGGUGAUUUUGUAACCGUUUAUCAUCGCGACGUGUGUCAACUGGGUUUUGCCAAUGAGCUAGAGGGCAAAGCAGUUUCAGUAUCUUUGAGCUUACCGGCACUUGGCCGUGCCAUUAGCAGCUAAAACACAGAAAUUAAAGGGAGGACUUUUUUGAUUCAUUUUCACCUUGUAUUGAGGAAUCAUAACGUUGUUGUAUCGCUUUACAAGGACAUAAAUUCACCGAAAUUAGUUCAAUGGAAAUACUACAGCAAGAGCAUGGAUGUUAAGACUUGAACGGAAACAUAAGAAACCCUCCUCCCAGAUGAAUCUAGUACUAGUGAAAUUAAUGAAAGAACAGAUCUUAUAAAAACUCCGAAAGAAACCAAAAGAGUCU